rnacentral:rRNA from 1 species
GUCCAGACUCCUACGGGAGGCAGCAGUGGGGAAUAUUGCACAAUGGGGGGAACCCUGAUGCAGCGAUGCCGCGUGGAGGAAGAAGGUUUUCGGAUUGUAAACUCCUUUUAUCAGGGACGAUAAUGACGGUACCUGAAGAAAAAGCUCCGGCUAACUACGUGCCAGCAGCCGCGGUAAUACGUAGGGAGCGAGCGUUAUCCGGAUUUAUUGGGUUUAAAGGGUGCGUAGGCGGACUGUUAAGUCAGCGGUAAAAGCCGGGGGCUCAACCCCGGCGAGCCGUUGAAACUGGCUGUCUUGAGAUGUCGAGAGGUAUGCGGAAUGCGCAGUGUAGCGGUGAAAUGCUUAGAUAUUGCGCAGAACUCCGAUUGCGAAGGCAGCAUACCGGCGGCGAUCUGACGCUGAGGCACGAAAGCGUGGGUAUCGAACAGGAUUAGAUACCCCGGUAGCA